AGGCUUAGAAAUGCUGCACCGAAGCACCAUUUGUAAAGCAACAUGAUUUAUAUUCCUAAGAUCAUGUAUACAGUUAUCUCCAAAUAAAAUCUCCCUUUUUGUUUUGGUUUAGGAUACAGGAUGAAUAUGGAAUGAUAUCUUUACUAGUCAGUUAAUGUCCUGGUGGCAUUUUUAGUGACAGUCGCUGCUAUUUCAGUUAACAAAUAUUUUUCAUAGAUCGUGGUGAUACUUACUUGUCGGCUCGGUGUUACUGUGCUCUGCCUGCUAACAACAGCACCGAUCUGACUGCUUUUGGGUCUUGAGUGGAAAUAAUCACAUUAAAUCUCAUAUGGGAUUCUCUCUACAGUGCCUUCAAUGCGAAUCUAGGAUACAAAACAAUGAAAUACAAUGGGCAGCGUGAGAUGGAAGCGACCUUGUGUAGCAGGCUUCUCCCAAAAUCGGGCCAUUAAGCCAGAGUGUUCGUCAUUGAUCCAAAGCUGUCACUUGUCACAGAAAACCAGUAAACUUCCUCAAGCAGAAGCUGAUGGCUGUCACAGAACACAUUCCCCCCACACCUGCAGCUCCUCCUGCUGCUCUGGCUCCACGAAUCAGACUGACCGAAGAGGAAUGUGCUCUGGCAGUUUUGUUGAGAAGAGACCUAGAAACCUUGUUUAAGGGAUGUAAGAUGAUUGCUGUAGUUCAAAGCAAUGCAAUCAAUGCAGAGGACCUCAUGGUGCUGAAACACAAACUGAAAAGCCACAAUAUCAGUGUCAAGUUCUUCCCAAACCAGGGUUGUUUCUCAGUAACAGCAUUUACAGUAACAUGUUGCCUCUGUUUGUUGGCCAGACUGUGAUAUUUGCUGGUAAACAGCCAAAAGUUAAAGAGAUGCUACAAGCGUUAAAACACAGUUCUCAGAUGGUGCUGUUAGGCGUGACAGAUGAUACAGAUGAUAUGUCAAACAGCAAGGCUCUGGGGACUCCACAAAUGCUGUUACAGAUAAAGAUACAAUAAAGGAUUAAAGUUGCUGUUUGGUCUUUUUUAUGUUAAAGUUGGAGGUAAAUUUUCACUGUAGAUAUGGUGGAGACUGGGGCUACAUUUCGCAAAGGCAACAUCUCUGCUCUAGCAAUGAUGUUUGUUUCAAAUGAUUUGUUCAAAAACUAUAUCAAAUUAGAAUAGUAAUAGUUCUGUCUUUCAAAGUAAAAUUUCAUUAUAUAUUUUGUAGUUUUAUAAAAUUUAAAGGCACAAUGUGUAAGUUUUCGCCGCUAGAGGGCGCUUAUGCAAAGCAAACAAAGAAACAAAGGCAUAGUCUGAUGACGCUGUGAUUGAGUGUGGAAUCAUGGGAGUUGUAGUCUUCAUCCUGUUCAUGGGUGAGCUUAUGAUUUAUAAACGUAGUAGAAUGAAGCAGACUGAGGCUGAAAGCUGUUGAAGAAAAACGAGGUUACUGAACGAACGUGACACACGGCUAGAAAGCUGCAGAGCUUUCAUUAUGCCACAGUCGACUGUUUUCGUGUGUGAGUAUUUAGAGUAAAGCAGCUCUGUUUUGUCAUACUAGAAACAUAAAUUAGCAGGCAACACAAUGACACUAUGGAUACUGUACGUGCCACUAGUUAAAAUUUAUUAUUUUUCAGGGUUUAAAUAUUCUUCUAAACAUUUGGGAUAAUGUAUGUACACAAAACUACAAAAUAUAUAAAAGUGUUAUAAUGUUUUUGGGUAUUUUAAUAAAAACAAUCUUACAUAUUGUACCUUUUAAGAUUAACAAUACUUGCUAUGUAUACUGGUAAUAAUUGUUGAACUGUUGAAUGUUGCUGAAAAACCAAUAUUAGGCCAUUUAACAGCAGGUUCCAUUGUGAUAACUCACCCCAUAUCUAGACACAAAAUGGCAAUGUUUUAGGCAAGGCAAGUUUAUUUAAAUAGCACAUUUCAUAUGCAAUGAUAAUUCA